rnacentral:lncRNA from 1 species
UUAUGCAUUUAUUUGGUUAGCUGACACCAUCAGCUUUGCAUUUUUCAUUAGUAGGUUCUGUUGAAUGUAUUCAAAGAAUAGCUUGUAGUAAUAUAGGGUCUUGGUUUUGGUAAGCAUUGUCGAUGCUCUGGUAGAAUAUAUCUUGAGUUACAAAUGCGAGCUUCAGUUUUCACGCAACUUCAUGAAAGCUUAGCUUUAUAGCGCAGUUCAGUGUUAAUUAUUUAAUUUUGUAGGUAAUAAAAAUGCAUUUCUUAUCCUUUAUGGUAGACAUUUCUGUCCUUUGCUACUGUCUAACUGAAUAGCUGAAAUACAAUGUUUUCAUUGGUCGAUUAAUAUUCUAUCCACUUGAAUCACAAUCACUCUCAUAAAGAAAAUUUCUUUUCCGUAAUUGAAGUUAAUGAACAAUACAACCAGGGAAUUGUUUUGCAUCCAUUGCAUGUCAUUUUUAGGUACCAAAGUAAACAAGCUCUGGACAGAUUCGCUUUCAGUUUCAGUGAUCCUGUUUGCAACAUCCAAGCAUCCUGUAAUCACCUGUAUAGCAGUUACACCUGUUCAUGUACAUGCUUUUAAUAAUAAAUCAACAACCGACAUG